rnacentral:rRNA from 1 species
GAUGAACGCUAGCGGCAGGCUUAAUACAUGCAAGUCGAGGGGCAGCACAGAUAGCAAUAUUGGGUGGCGACCGGCAAGCGGGUGCGGAACACGUACACAACCUUCCUUUUGGUGGGGGAUAGCCUUUGGAAACGAAGAUUAAUACCCCAUAAUACAAUGUUACUGCAUAGUGAUAUUGUUAAAGAUUUAUCGCCGGAAGAUGGGUGUGCGUAUGAUUAGGUAGUUGGUAGGGUAACGGCCUACCAAGCCGACGAUGAUUAACUGGUGUGAGAGCACGACCGGGCACACGGGCACGGAGACACGGGCCCGACUCCGACGGGAGGCAGCAGUAAGGAAUAUUGGUCAAUGGACGAAAGUCUGAACCAGCCAUGCCGCGUGGAGGAUGAAGGUCCUCUGGAUUGUAAACUUCUUUUAUAGGGGGCGAAAACGAGUCAUUCUUGAUUCUCUGACGGUACCCUAUGAAUAAGCACCGGCUAACUCCGUGCCAGCAGCCGCCGUAAAAC